AACAGAGGGGAAGGCCCAACUUUAUUAGUGAUGGGAAUUUGACAGGUCUCACAUUUGAGACGAAUUCUUGAGAGGAACCCUCAGAAAUAUACAUGUCUCCAAGAUGGAGCCCAAUGCCAUUGAGAUUUUCAUUUAAGCUUGCAAGGACUUCAUUCCAGUCCUCCUGUUUCAUAGCAAGCUUUAAAAGAUCCUCCAAAUCUUGGUAGUGAUUCCAACGUGCCAUAAUGUCUAUAAACGAAGAAAAGUCAUAUGGUGAAGGGUGCUGAGAAAGCUAAGGAGCUAACGGUGUUCCGUUGUAUAAGUUUUUCCCAAAUGUCAGACUCCAGAAAGAAAAAACAAAACACUAAGCACUUAAUAACACUAAAUACACUAAAGUAGGUUUGGUGAUUUAAGAUGUAGCUAUUAGCUAAGCACCCAUAGCUAUUACGAGGUAUUUUUAUUGGCAGUUUGGCAUAGUAAGGCAGUGGUAGAUUAAAAUAUUUUGUCUGCUAGUUUGAAGGGAAGUUAUUUUCAACGUCAGCAAUGGAUAAGCAGAUGAUUGAUUCACUUUUUAUAACGUCAUCAUAUUGGAUUAUAAUUUCCCCAGUUGGGAUUAUGCAUAGUUAUUUUUACUCACGUCAUACAUUAAAUUGAAUUAUCAAUAAUAACGAAACGCAAAAUGAAGCGAUUGCCAAUAAAUCUGGAAGAAAUUAAAGUUACAAUAUCAUACAUUGGUUCAAAUACUCUUUUGUCAGACCCUCUGCUAUGGAAUCGUUGAAUAUUUAUAUAAUAACUGAGGAGUAAUACUGGAAUGAAAUAUAUAGCGAGGAACAAAGAGACUGAUCAUCCUUCAAUUGCAUGUCUUCCAUUGGAUUAAGCUUGAAAGUCAUUUUCUGAAUUAUUAAAUGACUUAGUCAUUAUAUUCAAAUAUUAAUAUUUAAUAAAUAAAUUAAGGAUAUGUAAACAAGAACGAUUAUUUUAGUAUUUAUUGGCACUUAAUAAUAUAUUAUGUUCCCUGACAAUUGUAAAACAUAUUAAUAUGACAUAAACUAUUCAAAUUAUUUUAUUAUUUAUCAAUUGUAAAUAUUGUAUUUAUUUAUGGGAUUCAUUGAUUUAAGUUUAUAUUUAUAUUUUGUAUUAAUUAUUUAGCCUUAUAAUAUAAUUGAUUAAUUUACUAUUCAGUUAUUAUAAUUAUAUAUAUUGACUACUAUAGAAUACUGUGGUAGUUACAAGACAACUAAGUCUAAAAACUAAAACAGUAUAGUGCUUACUUUUCUUAGUGUCCACGUUUUGUUAUUAAAUAUCUUCAACAAAAAAAUUAAAAAGAAUAUUUUACCCAAUUAUAAUAUUUUACAUGUUUUCUUAAGUAAAUGAUAAUAUUCAAAAAGAUAUAAAAAUAAUAACUAAAGAGUAAAAAAGGAUUAAUAAUUAUAAUGAUGAUUUAUUUCAUUUAGAAUAUUGACCUUGCUUGUCUAAUUGUUAUUGUACAAUAUUUUUAUUAAUAUUGAAAAAAUUCACUACAAUUAAAAAAAAAAAUAAGAAUACGGAAUACCCCAGACCAUACCUUUUCUAGCACGCAUUCUCUUCCUAUUUCAUUUACUAAAAGAAAUUCAUCUAAGUUUAAAUAUAUGAAUCAAUACAAAAUUUAUAGACAUAAACACUGAAUUGAAAUAGAAUUUGAUUUAAAAUGUUCAAAUA
rnacentral:lncRNA from 1 species